CCUACGGGGCGCAGCAGUGGGGAAUAUUGGACAAUGGGCGAAAGCCUGAUCCAGCCAUGCCGCGUGUGUGAAGAAGGCCUUCGGGUUGUAAAGCACUUUCAGUGGGGAAGAAAGCCUUGGGGCUAAUACCCUCGAGGAAGGACAUCACCCACAGAAGAAGCACCGGCUAACUCCGUGCCAGCAGCCGCGGUAAUACGGAGGGUGCGAGCGUUAAUCGGAAUUACUGGGCGUAAAGCGCGCGUAGGCGGUCUGAUAAGCCGGUUGUGAAAGCCCCGGGCUCAACCUGGGAACGGCAUCCGGAACUGUCAGGCUAGAGGGCAGGAGAGGAAGGUAGAAUUCCCGGUGUAGCGGUGAAAUGCGUAGAGAUCGGGAGGAAUACCAGUGGCGAAGGCGGCCUUCUGGACUGACACUGACGCUGAGGUGCGAAAGCGUGGGUAGCAAACAGGAUUAGAUACCCUGGUAGUC
rnacentral:rRNA from 1 species